AACGUAGGUGGCAAGCGUUAUCCGGAAUCACUGGGCGUAAAGGGUGUGCAGGCGGGGUGGCAAGUGGGGGAUGAAAUCUCCCAGCUUAACUGGGAUAGGUUAUGCCAGACUGCUACUCUAGAGGACGAGAGAGGGGCGUGGAAUUCCGGGUGUAGUGGUGAAAUGCGUAGAGAUCCGGAGGAACCCCAGAGGCGAAGGCGACGCCCUGGCUCGUACCUGACGCUCAGCCACGAAAGCAUGGGGAGCGAACGGG
rnacentral:rRNA from 1 species